rnacentral:snRNA from 1 species
CGCGGACGAUUUUACCCU